rnacentral:lncRNA from 1 species
UCAUCCUCGACUUCAAACGAUGGUAAGUUCAGUCCGGAUUCCUACAAGAGCUGGACUCCAUCUCCAACCCCGGCUACGAACAAACUCAUCCGGACUCCUAUGGGAGCCGGACUUCAUCCCCAACUUUGACUGCAGGAAGACCUCGUCCGAGCUCCCACAGGAGUCGGACUUCGUUUCUGACUUCAGCUACAGACUCCAACCGAACUUCAGCCGACAAGUCUGGACUCCCUGGCAGGCCAU